GACGAACGCUGGCGGCGUGCUUAACACAUGCAAGUCGAACGGUAAGGCCCUUCGGGGUACACGAGUGGCGAACGGGUGAGUAACACGUGGGUGAUCUGCCCUGCACUUCGGGAUAGGCCUGGGAAACUGGGUCUAAUACCGGAUAGGACCCUGGGAUGCAUGUCCUGGGGUGGAAAGCUUUUGCGGUGUGGGAUGGGCCCGCGGCCUAUCAGCUUGUUGGUGGGGUGAUGGCCGACCAAGGCGACGACGGGUAGCCGGCCUGAGAGGGUGACCGGCCACACUGGGACUGAGAUACGGCCCAGACUCCUGCGGGAGGCAGCAGUGGGGAAUAUUGCACAAUGGGCGCAAGCCUGAUGCAGCGACGCCGCGUGAGGGAUGACGGCCUUCGGGUUGUAAACCUCUUUCAGCACCGACGAAGCGCAAGUGACGGUAGGUGCAGAAGAAGGACCGGCCAACUACGUGCCAGCCGCCGCGGUAA
rnacentral:rRNA from 1 species